rnacentral:tRNA from 1 species
CGGGUGUGGUUCAAUGGUAGAACGUUAGCUUCCCAAGCUCAAAACGCGAGUUCGAUUCUCGUCUCCC